AUACCUCACUUCAUUCUCAUUUCUCUCAUACCACUUUACCUCUUCGACCGCACCAUUUUAUUCUCUUUUAAACGAAAACAGUUCUCUAUUUCCCUUCACCAUCCGUUCACUUUUCCAUCUUUCCUCUGCCACCGUUGCCUUUGAACUAUCGAUGGAACUUAGAAUAACCUAUUAGAGACUUUCCUGUCUUGCAAUGCUAUCUGGAUGGAACACUUAUACCAGGCUAGCUUGUCCAUCUUGCAACUUUGACUCUACUUCUUUUUGUCUGUCAUUUAGUUAGAACAUUACAUUAUAGUGAUGCAUUAGUUAAAUCAUUACAUUAUGUUAAAAUUUAUCUAAGAUAUAUACUUAAAAAUUAAACUGUCAUUUUAUACAUUUUUUCAGUUACUGCUACAAUUAACGCAUCAAAAGCUACAUCCAUGAUUCGCGAUCAUGAAGGCAUGUUCAAACUUGUUAUGACAAAAGCUAAUAUGCAUGGAGAUGAUGCCCUUUAUUUUCUAAAUGUAAUUUUGAAAAGAACAUUCAUGUAAUCUGUAAGCUUUAGUUCAGAGCUUUCAAUGAAGUUAUAAUUUUCUCCAAAAAUUGUAGUCUCACUUAAUACACAUACACACACCCACACUUGUUUCUAUGAUGUCCAGUCAUCCACUUUGGAGGACUUAAUCAUGGAAAUCAAAGAGCAUUAGCACCUAAUGAGGUGUUAGGAGAGGUUCAUUCAUCCACCUUAAUAUAACUUUUGGACAAGCAUAUGAAUGCAAAAAAAGAAACUAAAAUACACUGACAUUGAAUUAGUAACUACCUUAUUAAAACCAAAGGUUAAUCCCGUAUAUAAUUGAUAUAGUGUUCAACGAAAGAAAAGAAAAGGGAAGAGAGAAAAAAAGUAACAGUACUAUUCUCCCCUAACACAAUUAAGGCUUUUGUAAACUUCAAAAGCUUAGUAGUCCAAAUACUGAAAGGUCUUUCCUCAGCAAUCUAACUGUAGCAGUUAUUGUUGUGAAUGGGCUAAGCUACACGAACCUCAAUUUGUAAUUAUUGUGUUCUCUUUUCUUUUAACCUUUUGUGUGCUCAUCGAUGAGCUUAGCAUUUUGUGGUCAUUAACUUUUAUUUUCUCUUUUAUUUUUAUUUUUUUUGCUGCAAGAACCUAACAUUGUGUGGUUAGUUAAUAAUUGUUAAACACUUAAACACAAGAACUACUGUGAAAAUCCCUCGGGCUUAUUUUCAUAUUUAUCUAUUUUAAGAUCCAUCGUCAUGUUUAGAAUGCAUAGGCCUUGUAAUUUAUUUAGAGUUUUAUGAAUAGAUAAGUCUUAGAUACACCUGUUUGUUCUUGCUAUGCCUUGAUCUCUUUGUACCGCGCACCUUUGCAUUUGGAGUUUCUUUGUCUGUUGAGGGAUACACUUCUUGCCUUAAAUAUUUGAGAUUGUUAGAACAAGUUGGUUCCUCAAGGAAAUAAAGUGAUCCUGCUACUAAAGCUCUUUGAUUACCAUGAUUAAAUCUUCCAGAAUGGAUGAUUACACAUGAUAGAAACAAGUAUAUAUAUAUAUAUAUAUAUAUAAAAUAAGACUAAAAAUCUUCUAUGAAAUUAUAAGUUCAUUAAAAGAUCUGAACUAAAGCUUACAUAUUGCAGGAAUGUUCUUUUCAAGAAUACAUUAAAAAAAAAAAGGCUUUAUCUAGGCACAUUAGCUUUUGUCAUGAUGAGUUUGAACCUGCCUUCAUUAUCAAGAAUCAUAGAUGUAGCUUCUGAUGCUUUACUUGUAGCAGUAAUUGAAUAAAGGUGUAAAAUGAACUUUUCAUUUUUAAGUAUAUAUCUUACAUAAUUUUUAACAUGAUGUAAUGUUUUCAGUAAUGCACCACUGUAUAUAAAGAAAAAAUUAUGGUGGGGCUCUAUUCAUGAAGAUACUGCACAUUCAUACAUAAUGAAGGUCAUCGGGAAGAAGUAAAAAAAAAAGUAGACUAAGAUUAUUUGGACAAAACAAUGAUUGGAGCAAAAGUCCUGAAGAAAGUAUCAAGAAUCCUCUAUUGGCAAUCAAGGAAACUGAAUGGGCUUGAUAUAUUGAUUACAGAUUAGACAACAUGACUCAGGAGAUAUAUAAAAAAGAUGCUCAAAAUAGAACCAACCUUACAAUACACCACCCUGGCAAUUCAAAAAGCCUCGAGAAAGGAGUGUAUGGAUAGUUGUGACUUUGUGAGAGAUCUUGACGCUGUGGACACGAGAAUUAGUGGAGGACACUGCUUGCCAGGUACAAGAGCUGAUGGUGCUGAAGCAUCGCAUGGCAAGAGGUCAGAUGCUAUGCAGCACUGACACUUCAAAAACUUUGACGUGUCGUGUCCGACACUCCCCGAUACUCCAAUACGCAUUAUAGAAAUUCAAAAAAGGUUCAAAGGUUGCGUUGCAUUGAGUUUUUAGU